CAGCACCCACCACCACCACCAGCAGCAGAUCAAAAUCCAAGUGCCUACUCUUCACUAUCAUUGCAUCUCUCCUGCUUUUGUCUCUUAUCGUAAUCAUCCUCUUCUUUAUCCUCCAUCAUAAAACUUCGCAUUCCUGCUCUCCAAAAUCAUCUUCAAGCACUCUAGUACCUUUAGCUAACAUUCAAUUAGCCUGUCAACCCACACAACAACCAGAAAUCUGUCAAGCCUCUCUUUCUAAGUCCAAUCUUCUCCCUCCCAAUCCAACUCCACUUCAAAUUAUCCAAUCUGCAUUAUGGGUCUCCUCCCAAAAUCUCUCAAUUGCACAAUCGAUGCUGAAGUCCCUCCUAAGCGCCGCGGCCGGUAAUCAAAACCUCACUUACGCUGCUAAAAAUUGUUUGGAGAUUCUGGGUUUUUCUCAGUACCGCAUUUCAUUGUCGAAUGACACUUUGCCACUUGGUAAGACCAAA
rnacentral:misc_RNA from 1 species